rnacentral:rRNA from 1 species
UACGGAGGGUCCAAGCGUUAUCCGGAAUCAUUGGGUUUAAAGGGUCCGUAGGCGGUUUAGUAAGUCAGUGGUGAAAGCCCAUCGCCCAACGGUGGAACGGCCAUUGAUACUGCUAAACUUGAAUUAUUAGGAAGUAACUAGAAUAUGUAGUGUAGCGGUGAAAUGCUUAGAUAUUACAUGGAAUACCAAUUGCGAAGGCAGGUUACUACUAAUGGAUUGACGCUGAUGGACGAAAGCGUGGGUAGCGAACAGG